CAGUUGUAUCGUCCAUGUGUCAUAUAUUUGCUCUUUCUCAUACUGGGUCAGGAAUUGGGCUAUUAAAUAGCAUCCUUCAUAAAUAUGCAAAUAACUGAGGUGAAUAUAGAGAUCUCUGUGACUGAGAGCAUCACCCAACAACCACACCCCUCCUCGAGAGAAGCCUCUAGAGCACAGCUCCUCACCAUGGACUGGACCUGGAGGAUCCUCUUCUUGGUGGCAGCGGCAACAGGUGCCCACUCCCAGGUGCAGCUGGUGGAAUCUGGGGCUGAAGUGAAGAAGCCUGGGUCCUCAGUGAAGGUCUCCUGCAAGGCUUCUGGAUACACCUUUACCAGCUACUUUAUGCACUGGGUGCGACAGGCCCCUGGACAAGGGCUUGAGUGGAUGGGAUGGAUCAACCCUUACAAUGGUAACACAAAGUACGCACAGAAGUUCCAGGGCGGAGUCACCAUAACCAGGGACACAUCCACAAGCACAGCCUACAUGGAGCUGAGCAGCCUGAGAUCUGAGGAUACAGCCGUGUAUUACUGUGCGAGAGACACAGUGUGAA